UGUUGUUUGGACAUGGCUGUGUUUUUCCCUUUGUACUCACUAAUGUGACAUUGUGUCAGUCCCUGUUAGGACAUGCUCGAAUACAAUGAUGAUUUAGAGUAACGCAUGAGGAGGACUGACGGUUAAAAACCUUGAGGCUGAAUACAAAUAGCUAGUAUGAUACACGAUUUAAACAAGGCUUCACCUUCGACCGAACCUAUGAUACGUAAGUCAUGCGUGUCUGCAUGACUCCACUCGUUUCUUCCCCAUUACACACAGACAAAUCCACCGACUGCAAGUCUCCUUCCCUUGUGCCCGGGGAAGUGCCCUCCCCACAUCCUCGAACCUCUCCAAGAAUAUCCUUUCCCUGCGAGAAUCGUUCCUGGACAUCAAGGUCUUUGACUUGGUAAUAAGUUUGCCGCAUAAACAAUGUGGUGAAUCCUGGGCGUGUCGCCACUUUCUUGGAAAUAAUCACACAGUGAGUCGAGGGGCUGAGUCACUUCAGGGAUUGAGGUUCCUCUUAGUGUCCUUGUGGUGUGAGGAGCUGCCCUGUGUGUGAGCAGACAUAUUUAUGGACAUCGCUCGGCUGUCUUCAAUAUUCUGGGGUGUCUUUCAGAAAGUUGUCACAAACAACUUUUCCCAGACGUCUCCCGGCGCCGAAGCGUCCCCUGAUUGCCUGAAAGAGAAGAAGCAAUCACCGCGCGGACUCCCAGAAGCGCACGGAGACAAGGAUGUCACAGCGGGCGCUAAAUCUUAAUUGCGCAGCGGCGGAAAUCGGUGAUGGCCGACAAUCAGUGGGAUGCCGGACGGGGGGGAAGGCGGGAAAUCGUGGGGGGGGCUCCAGGGCGGCCGUUGACGUCAAACGCACAGGAUCUUCUCAGACAGUGAUGGCCUUUAGGGUGCAAAAUGGACUCUGCUAUAGUAGCCGCUGCCCUAUCAAGGGAAGGAAAUAAUCUGGGAGCUGCUUCCCUGCAUUGUGUUUAUUGAAUCGUAUUGUGCCCCUACUGAGAAGAGGAUGCAUCAGCCCGCACGCGGCCCACGAUGCCUCCGGGGGAAUCAGGCUACUGUUGUUUGUGCUUUCGAGGAUUUCCAAUUGUUUUGACUAAUAGGAAACAGAUGAUGUUAAACUACACACUGGAGGGGUGGGGGGGGGGAGCUUCCUGAAAACUCAUCACAACCCAGUUGCCCCGUUUUUGCUCUGUGAAAUUUCUAUCCCACAACCGUGAUUCAUUUGACGGGCGAGUCGUGCGGCUGCAUAGCGAGAGGUCUGCCCAUUCACUGCCUCUGGCACAAGACCGAGCCAAUAAACACACAAGGCCAAAACACUGCAUGUCCUUUUUCCAUUUCUGUGACGCUGAGCAGAACCGUGGGCAUCGUGGACAUUUGAAGGAGCUCAACGCCACUCAAUCCAAUUUUUUGGACUCAAUGGCUGAAUAUGCGAUUGUGCGCCGCCGUACUGGAGCCGAGCUCUUUGCUGACACGUCAGGACGGCCGUUGACAGGUCGAACAGUGAAAGCCGUAUUCAUCUUCUCUGCUUAAGGGUAAUCUGGGCUGCUAUUCAACUGCCCGGACCAAGGCCAGGGUUACAAAACACACCCGAACAACCCUUUUUAACCCUUUCGGGUACUUUACUCCAGGCUGGAUCCAUUUGACGCGGGAGGUUAGGGGGCUCCUCUCUAUGGAAUGUGCUAUAUUGAAGCAGGAGUUCGGACUAGCAUCACUAAGGAGGAUGGAUAUGAUGGGAUGAACGACUCGUGCCAUACCUUUCCCUCCCGAUAAACACAUGUAGUCAGCUGGCUUAAUGGGGUCAGAGGAGUGCAGCUAUCAAGCCAUUAGUUUGAAUGUCGCUCCAUCCGAUGCAGAUCAAGCCGCUCGGUUUUAUUGCCUUUCAUGCGAUCACGUCGCAAAUUUUGCAAAUGUCAUCUGCUAAUUAUAAGUUGCGGGGAACAAGGUUACACAACAGCGAAUUGGCUUGGACCCGGGGACAUAAAAUACUCCCGGACAGCUUCCGCCUCAGAGGGCAGGUCAGAAAAUAACAAACAACAAAGUGUAAUUACAAAAAGUCCGGUAUUUGAAUAGGUCUCUUUUUAUUGGAGCCUCUGAUGGGAUGCUGGCUCUUUAUCUUCAGCUAUUGAAAGGAUCUGCUACCGUUUUUAAUGCAGCUCCCCCCCCCCUACUAACCCCACCCCCAGUGAGGAAUAAAAGCGGUUCAGGCAACUGGCCCCUCAGUUGAAAAGGGAUCAAAUAUGUGAGCACAGGGCUGUUUCAGACCUGUAUGUUAAUGAGGGAGCACUGCCAGCAGGCUCGGCCUCGAGGUGCCAGCGGAGGCCUCAGGCGAGCACAGAAGCGCUCCUGUCUAUUCCUGGAUCGCAGUUUCACACGUCGCAUGUUGACGGCAUGUUCAGCUCGAGUUCCUACUUGUGACAACAAGCAGAAAAGGCUCCUUUCUGUUUAUCAUUUUUUAUUUUUAAAUGUCCGUGUCACAUCAGGGUGCUGAGCUUCUGCUAAAAUUAAGAUUCACAGAGAAAAAGAAGACUCCUCUCACUCAUUUCGGGGGGGGGG
ensembl:lncRNA